rnacentral:rRNA from 1 species
UACAGAGGUCUCAAGCGUUGUUCGGAUUCAUUGGGCGUAAAGGGUGCGUAGGCGGCGAGGUAAGUCGGAUGUGAAAUCCCGGGGCUCAACCCCGGAACUGCAUUCGAUACUGCUUUGCUCGAGUACUGGAGAGGAGACUGGAAUUUACGGUGUAGCAGUGAAAUGCGUAGAUAUCGUAAGGAAGACCAGUGGCGAAGGCGAGUCUCUGGACAGUUACUGACGCUGAGGCACGAAGGCCAGGGGAGCAAACGGG